rnacentral:rRNA from 1 species
CGUAGGAAGGGAUUGGCAAUAAUUGAAUGUUCGCUUUCUAUUAGGUGUGUAUAUAUAGUCUCAAAAUUACAUGUAUUUGUAAUGGCGAGUAAUAUUUAUACUAUCCUGUAGGAAAACUCGGGCGACCGCUGUAAUAUUUCUCUUUAAAACAGAGGAAGAUUGCGGCAAUAACAGGUCUGUGAUGCCCUCAGAUGUCCCGGGCCGCACACGUGCUACAUUGAUUAGCGCAGUGCGCAUACUUUCAAUAUGAUACAUUAGAUUGGAUUGUUCUGUUGAGCUCCAUCUAAUACUAUCCGGCUUGAGAAGGCUGGGUAAUCAAUUGUAAGUGCUGGUUCCUCCUCCCGUUGAGCAUUUUAAUAAUGGCCUCUCUACAUCCCUAGCAAUAUGCCUAGUGCGAUUGUAGUUGAGCCUUGCCAUUUAUGCAAGUGUCAAUUCUCAGUGGGGACAGACAUUUGAUAAUUCUUUGUCUCGUUCUUAACUAGGAAUGCCUUGUACGGGUCUUGGUUCAACAGACCACCCGGAAUACGUCCCUGCCCUUUGUACACACCGCCCGUCGCUCUUACCGAUGAAUUUCCCUGUGAGUUURAAGGACUGAUGGUUGCAAAAUCAUUGGAAAUUCUGUC